UACGGGGGGGGCAAGCGUUGUUCGGAAUUACUGGGCGUAAAGGGCUCGUAGGUGGCCGACUAAGUCAGACGUGAAAUCCCCAGGCUUAACCUGGGAACUGCGUCUGAUACUGGAUGGCUUGAAUUCGGGAGAGGGAUGCAGAAUUCCAGGUGUAGCGGUGAAAUGCGUAGAUAUCUGGAGGAAUACCGGUGGCGAAGGCGGCAUCCUGGACCGACAUUGACGCUGAGGAGCGAAAGCCAGGGGAGCAAAGCGGGG
rnacentral:rRNA from 1 species